UUGAUGGGCUCUAUUCCAUUGCAAAUACUCUUAAAAAUUAUUCAGAUGAAAGCCUCUGGUGACAGUUAAUGUGUUGUUUAGUGCAGGUUUGGGGAGUGGAAGGAGGUCCUUAUGAAUUCACGCCUGUAGCUGCUUCAAGUUUUAGUGACAGAUUUUUGGUCCAUGGAGAAAAAGAUGGAGUUCACCUAUUCGUUCGUCAGUGCUGCUAUGAAUUGUUCGAUUCAAAUGACAAACAUGGAGGGCGGGAGAAUAAAUGGGUUUCUCGGAUACCAUGCCAUGAUAUAUUUUGCUUAGCGGAGGGCUUAACUAAUUGUAAUUGACGGUCAAGACACAAGUUAUGCAUUGAAACUC